CAGCCGCCGCGGGAACACGGAGGGUGCAAGCGUUACUCGGAGUUACUGGGCGUAAAGCGUGCGUAGGUGGUGGUUUAAGUCCGUUGUGAAAGCCCUGGGCUCAACCUGGGAAUUGCAGUGGACACUGGGUCACUAGAGUGUGGUAGAGGAUAGUGGAAUUUCCGGUGUAGCAGUGAAAUGCGUAGAGAUCGGAAGGAACAUCUGUGGCGAAGGCGACUAUCUGGGCCAACACUGACGCUGAGGCACGAAAGCGUGGGGAGCAAACAGGAUUAGAUACCCCCGUAGUCCCUGUCUCUUAUAC
rnacentral:rRNA from 1 species